rnacentral:rRNA from 2 species
UCUGGCCUCAAAUCAGGUAGGACUACCCGCUGAACU